rnacentral:rRNA from 1 species
UAAACGAUGUCGACCCAGCCGUUGGGUGCCUAGCGCACUUUGUGGCGAAGUUAACGCGAUAAGUCGACCGCCUGGGGAGUACGGCCGCAAGGUUAAAACUCAAAUGAAUUGACGGGGGCCCGCACAAGCGGUGGAGCAUGUGGUUUAAUUCGAUGCAACGCGAAGAACCUUACCUACUCUUGACAUCCUGCGAACUUGUGAGAGAUCACUUGGUGCCUUCGGGAGCGCAGAGACAGGUGCUGCAUGGCUGUCGUCAGCUCGCGUUGUGAAAUGUUGGGUUAAGUCCCGUAACGAGCGCAACCCUUGUCCUUAUUUGCCAGCGGGUAAUGCCGGGAACUCUAAGGAGACUGCCGGUGACAAACCGGAGGAAGGUGGGGACGACGUCAAGUCAUCAUGGCCCUUACGAGUAGGGCUACACACGUGCUACAAUGGCCGGUACAAAGGGUUGCGAGCUCGCGAGAGUCAGCUAAUCCCGAAAAGCCGGUCUCAGUCCGGAUCGGAGUCUGCAACUCGACUCCGUGAAGUCGGAAUCGCUAGUAAUCGUGAAUCAGAAUGUCACGGUGAAUACGUUCCCGGGCCUUGCACACACCGCCCGU